CGAGGCUUGAGUUUAAACCUGGUGACAAUUUCAAUGGCUUUAAUGUCUGUUGAAAAUAUGUCCGUGAGCACUUUUCUAUGGGUCAUGGGCUUUUUACCGCUCUGGAAGUCUACAUUUAUUUAAAAGCUUUUUUUUUUUUUAUAGCACGUGCAAUACUAAUGAACCACGUGGUUCUAGAAGCUACAAUGCUAAGGCGAGGUUAACUGCAUAGCCUCAUGCUCUGAUGCUAAUCUUAUUAGCCUUCCUACACAACCACGAUGCCUUGAGGAUCAGUUUGUUCACCAACUCGAGCUUUUCCUCCUAAACCACGAGAAAACCGUGGACAUCAUGUGGUGCUUCAGUUCAUCCGAGUCUCCUGCAUCAGCAAGGGGAUUAAAAGGACCUCCUGAUCAUUAAGAACUGAUGUUCAAGUCAGACUACAGUCUCUUGCUUUUAUACACCAUCUAUGGCAGAUAACAAGCGACGUGGCUGAGAUGGAGAAGCUUCCACAGCGGAAGACUACCUAGUGAUUUUUUUUUUUUUUUUUUUUUUUUGCUUAAGAACGAGUAUGAUUUUAUGUGAC